GAGGUCUUAGCUUAAAAUUAAAGUGUCUGAGUUGCAAUCAGAAGAUGUGGUGCUCACAGGUCUUCAGAA
rnacentral:tRNA from 2 species